GAUGAACGCUAGCUACAGGCUUAACACAUGCAAGUCGAGGGGUAACGAGAGGAAAGCUUGCUUUCCUUGUCGACGACCGGCGCACGGGUGAGUAACGCGUAUCCAACCUGCCCCCAACUAGGGAAUAACCUUGCGAAAGUAAGACUAAUACCCUAUAAUUUCCUCAGAUGUCAUCUGACGAGGAAUAAAGAUUUAUCGGUUGUGGAUGGGGAUGCGUCUGAUUAGCUUGUUGGCGGGGUAACGGCCCACCAAGGAAACGAUCAGUAGGUGUUCAGAUGUGAAGGUCCCACGAAUUGGAGCUUAUACACGUUACAUCCUCAUACGGGAGGCAGCAGUGAGGAAUAUUGGUCAAUGGGCGGAAGCCUGAACCAGCCAAUUAGCGUGCAGGAUGACGGCCCUAUGGAUUGUAAACUGCUUUUAUACAGGAAUAAAGUUAGCCACGUGUGGUUAUUUGUAGGUACUGUAUGAAUAAGGACCGGCUAAUUCCGUGCCAGCCGCCGCGGUAA
rnacentral:rRNA from 1 species